AACGAACGCUGGCGGCGUGGAUAAGACAUGCAAGUCGAACGCUCAUUGCGGGGUAGCAAUAUUCCGAAGUGGGAGUGGCGAAAGGGUGCGUAACAUGUGGGUAAUCUGCCGUGAAGUUUGGGAUAACUCGCUGAAAGGCGAGCUAAUACCGGAUAUGACUGUCGGGUGGCAACGCUUGAGUUUCAAAGCUGGGGGCCGCAAGGCCUGGCGCUUUACGAUGAGCCCGCAACCUAUCAGCUAGUUGGUGAGGUAACGGCCCACCAAGGCUAAGACGGGUAGCUGGUCUGAGAGGACGACCAGCCACACUGGAACUGAGACACGGUCCAGACACCUACGGGUGGCAGCAGUCGAGAAUUUUUCACAAUGGGCGAAAGCCUGAUGGAGCGACGCGCGUGGGGAUGAAGGGCUUCGGCCCGUAAACCCCUGUCAUUUGUGAACAAUG
rnacentral:rRNA from 1 species